UACACUCCUACGGGAGGCAGCAGUGGGGAAUAUUGGACAAUGGGCGCAAGCCUGAUCCAGCCAUGCCGCGUGAGUGAUGAAGGCCCUAGGGUUGUAAAGCUCUUUCACCGGUGAAGAUAAUGACGGUAACCGGAGAAGAAGCCCCGGCUAACUUCGUGCCAGCAGCCGCGGUAAUACGAAGGGGGCUAGCGUUGUUCGGAUUUACUGGGCGUAAAGCGCACGUAGGCGGACUAUUAAGUCAGGGGUGAAAUCCCGGGGCUCAACCCCGGAACUGCCUUUGAUACUGGUAGUCUUGAGUUCGAGAGAGGUGAGUGGAAUUCCGAGUGUAGAGGUGAAAUUCGUAGAUAUUCGGAGGAACACCAGUGGCGAAGGCGGCUCACUGGCUCGAUACUGACGCUGAGGUGCGAAAGCGUGGGGAGCAAACAGGAUUAGAUACCCCUGUAGUCCCAUG
rnacentral:rRNA from 1 species